AUUGAACGCUGGCGGCAGGCCUAACACAUGCAAGUCGGGCGGAGCGGCGGACGGGUGAGUAAUGUAUGGGGAUCUGCCUGGUAGUGGGGGAUAACGUCCGGAAACGGGCGCUAAUACCGCAUACUAUCAGAUGAGCCUAGGUCGGAUUAGCUAGUUGGUGGGGUAAAGGCUUACCAAGGCGACGAUCCGUAACUGGUCUGAGAGGAUGAUCAGUCACACGGGAACUGAGACACGGUCCAGACUCCUACGGGAGGCAGCAGUGGGGAAUAUUGGACAAUGGGCGAAAGCCUGAUACAGCCAUGCCGCGGGUGUGAAGAAGGUCUUCGGAUUGUAAAGCACUUUAAGUUGGGAGGCGUUACCGACAGAAGAAGCACCGGCUAACUCCGUGUCAGCAGCCGCGGUAAUUC
rnacentral:rRNA from 1 species